rnacentral:tRNA from 1 species
CGCGGGGUGGAGCAGUGGUAGCUCGUCGGGCUCAUAACCCGAAGGUUGUAGGUUCGAAUCCUGUCCCCGCAACCA